rnacentral:rRNA from 1 species
GAACUUACCAGGUCUUGACAUCCGAUGCUAUUUCUAGAGAUAGAAGUUACUUGGUACAUCGGUGACAGGUGGUGCAUGGUUGUCGUCAGCUCGUGUCGUGAGAUGUUGGGUUAAGUCCCGCAACGAGCGCAACCCCUAGUUGUUAGUUGCCAUCAUUCAGUUGGGCACUCUAGCGAGACUGCCGGUAAUAAACCGGAGGAAGGUGGGGAUGACGUCAAAUCAUCAUGCCCCUUAUGACCUGGGCUACACACGUGCUACAAUGGUUGGUACAACGAGUUGCGAGUCGGUGACGGCGAGCUAAUCUCUUAAAGCCAAUCUCAGUUCGGAUUGUAGGCUGCAACUCGCCUACAUGAAGUCGGAAUCGCUAGUAAUCGCGGAUCAGCACGCCGCGGUGAAUACGUUCCCGGGCCUU